AAGUAUUGAUCUAAAGUAGUGGUAUCUUAACCGGGUCGGGUGUAAAUUCGGAUUUUAAGAUACCAACAACACCAUCAUAGCGCCGCUGCAAGGCGAACUUGACCUUCCGUCAAACUCUGUUUCUCUCUCUCCAUCGAAGAUUCCGUACCCUCAGGUAAAAUCGUAUACUACAUUUAGUACAUCCUUCAAGGAGUUAGGUUCUUUCAUUUGUUGAAUUUUGUUUGAGGAAGAUGGCUGGGAGGAACCGUGGACCGCCACUUCCGAUGAAAGGUGUCCCACAUGGUGGAAUGCCACUUAUUCACGAGCCACCGUAUGGAAGGAAUCUAGGCCCGAUGCCCCAUCCUGCGUUGCUUGAAGAGAUGCGCGAAGCUGAGUUUGCAAGGGCUCACAGACCACUCCCACCCCACCCUGCUAUAUUUGAAGAACGGUUAGCAGUUCAACAUCAGGACAUUCAGGGGCUGUUGGUUGAUAAUCAACGGUUAGCUGCAACCCAUGUUGCACUUAAGCAGGAGUUAGAAGCUGCACAACAUGAGCUUCAACAAACCGAUCAUCAUGCUAGAAACUUUUUGAUGGAGAAGGAUAUGCAGAUGCGAGAGUUGUAUGAGAAGUCGGCCAAAAUGGAACAUGAUCUUCAUGGGGUUGAAGGCAUGCGGGGCGAGCUUAUGAAAUUGCAUGCUGAUAUUAAGGAAUUGACUGCCACUCGUCAAAAGCUUACUGCUCAAGUUCAGGCUAUGUCUCAAGAUUUAGCUAGAGCUAAUGCUGAAUUGCAGCAAGUUCCAGCACUCAAGUCGGAAAUUGGAGGGCUUAGGCAGGAACUGCAACGUGUGAGGGCUGCUAUCGAACAAGAGAAAAAGGGGCAUGCAGAGAACUAUGAACAUGGUCAAGUGAUGGAGAAGAAUUUACUCACUAUGGCUCGUGAGUUGGAAAAGUUACGCGCUGAGAUGGCUAAUGCUGAAAAAAGGACACGUGCUGCAGCUGGGAAUCCAAAUCCUGGCUAUAACACAAAUUAUGGCAAUGUUGAAGCUAACUAUGGAGUGAAUCCGUAUCCUGCUAAUUACGGGAUGAAUCCUACUAAUCAAAUGAAUCCUGUGCAGCCAGGUGCUGAAGGCUAUCCUCAGUAUGGACCUGGACCUGGAUCGUGGGGCUCAUAUGAUAUGCAACGGGCUCAAGGGCACAGAUAAACCAUCUCAUGCUAAGCUGUGGUCUCUUAGAUUGCUUAUCGGAGCAAAAGUAUGGUACUCUGAAUUGAAGUCUAGGCGGGAAAUAUCGGCUAUGGAAAACAACACACUUUCUGGAUUGGCCUUGACAAAAGGAAAUAUUUUAAAGUUUUGUGGCUGACUGCCUGACAACUAUGGCUACAUGGGCAAAACUCAUGGUCCAAGUGCUUAAGUGCAAAUAGGUGAAUUAGAGGGAUUUGGUAUCUGAUGACUUUUGUAGUUUUAUUGUUAGCACUCUUGUUUAAAUUGCCAUUCAUUACGACAAUAAGAUACACUUUGGCAUCACGUUUCAGAUAAUGAUUUCCUAAAAUCCUGAUAAGAUAUUUUUCUAGAUUCUUUUGAUUACUCUUUCUAGUAUGGGCAUGAUUACACCGUGGCAAAUUGGACAGGUUAGGUAACGGGUCAAAAUAAGUUUUGCAUUCAAUAUGCUUACAAGAGUGGUGACAUUUUUUUAAGUGGCCCAUUCUUACUUUUCUUAUGUGGUGAGGAUGUAUUUCCUUACAAUAUGAUGUUUUUAUGGCUUACCGUUUUAUGCUAGGUCCUGCAUGGUUAAAAAUCAUUAGUUAUGCCUUGUGUGUUGUCACGUAUAUAACCAGUUUUAUAAGUGCUAAGCCCACAAAAAAUCUGACUUUUUGUAAGUGGUGUGUUACAUAUGAUUACACUUACUGUAUUAUUACAAUAAUAAUCUUAGCUUUCAGAAGUAGAGUAAGGUUAUCGUACAAAUGGGCUUAACAUACUAAACGUGAGAAGUGAAGGAGGGAAUUUAUUUUUGAAAAUUUAUUUCCCAUCUUGCCAAGCACGUAUUUUAGUCCCAGAAUCUAAAAAAAAUAUUUUUUUUUUUGUGUAUUUACAUUAGUAGAGUAAUUAUGUAAUCGCUCUACACAACUUUUUUUUUGUUUUUUUUUUACAUUUUGCAACUAAACAUCAUGCUUAAGUAGAGAUGGAAGAAAAAAAAAUCUUCCUUCACUUCUUAUGUUUAGUAUGUUGAGACCCAUUUGUAUCUGAUCUUUACCUUUUAGAAGUAUAUCCAAAGGGGAUGUUGCAUCCACAAAAAAAGCGCAUGUUUAAGACCAAAAAAGUGCCAUAAUAACUGGAUAUAUGAUAGGCAUAAAAACCUAUAUGAUUUUUGUUAAAUUGAAGUUCGAAAAGUAAAAGAAAUUCUGUUUUUGAUUCCACAUUGCUUCACAUAAAUGGGAGGCAGUCAAACAUGGAACUAGGGAUAGUAAAAGAACCCGCACACGAAACAUCCGUGACAGGUAUGGGGUUAAUAAAAAAAUGCGGGUUUGGAUGUAUGGUAUUAGGUGAUACCUGGCACAAUUGCCCGAAGUCAUAAACCCGUAUGGUGGAUACACAAACAAUAUACCUGAAAAAUUUUAAUCUUAUUUUUUAUUUUUCCUUGACCCUUGUCUAGUGAUGCUUCAUUCUACUAGCUUCAUUAUGUGGAAAAUGAACUUCUCUGUUUAUGAUAUUAUGUAUGCUACGAAGCAUGAACUUAUCUUUUUACGAUUUAUCCAAUUAAUCUCUAAACUGAAGUGCUUGCUUCAUCUGCACCCCUAUGUUGUCAAAAGCGCAAAAAGCGCGCGCCUAGGCGUCCGGGCGCAUCGAGGCGCACCUAUAGCGCCUGGUGGUAGCCUAGGCGCAAAAAUGGGCUUUUUUGAAAAAACGGUGCUGAGGCGCAAAAAAACGUUGUUGAGGCGCAGGAAAAAAGGGUAAAACAGCACAAAUGACCAUUAAAAACGAAACCAAGUGAGUACAAAAACUGCCCCACGCGGGCCCGGAUUUUCGGAGCUGCAUUCGUGUCCGCAGGACGUGCGGGCACGCACGAGUUCAACCAAAUUCCAGCUCAGAAACUCAUUUUGGCAUAUAUAAUAGUUUUUUUAAUUUUAUAUGUGGAAUCUUAUUUAUUUUCAAAGCAUGACAUAUUUUUUAUAUAUAUAUUUUUUCUCUAUGUGCGCUUUUCUUAAAAAAGCCGACGCUUUUUUUGCGCCUUGCGCCUAGGCUUCGGGCGAGGCCGAUGCGCCUCGCCUGCGCCUUGGGUCUUUGACAAUGUAGCUGCACCCGAGGAAGAAGAUCGUCUCGCCUGUGUUCAAGGCUCCUAGGCACACCCUAGACCUAGGCCUCACCUGAGCAUGGGUCCUCUCUUGACUAGUAGUUAAGAGAAACAUGUACUUUUUUCAUAAUUUCCAGUAUUCUGGAUUAAUUUUUGCACUCUUCCCUCUUAUCAGAUGAGGGUUACUGCAGGAAUGUUGCUCCUGAAUGCUUCCAUGGUUAGGGCUGUAAACGAACCGAACGUUCAGCGAACAGUUCGUGAACCGUUCGGCGGGAAGUUCGUUUAUGUUCGUUCGUUUAAGAAAUGAACGAACACGAACAAGGAAUUUCGUUCGAUUAGUUAAAUGAACGAACAUGAACAAAGGUCUCGUUCGUUCAAUUGUGUUCAUGAACGUUCGGUAAGGUGUUCGUGAACAUUCGGUAAGGUGCGGGAAGUUCAUUUAUGUUCGCAUGUUUGUGUUUUAAUGAAAGAUUUUUGUACUUUCAUAUAUUUUAUCUAUACUUUUUAUAUUAUUAAACUUAUAUUUAUUUUAUUACCCUAAGAAUUAAACUUGGAAAACCCUGUUUUACCUUGUUUAUGCACCAUUUCCCUUUCAUUUCUUAUUAUUUACAUUGACGCAUACGAUCGAUCUCCGUUCGACACGUUCAAGUGCUACUCUCUAGGCCAUCCACCUUUAUCCUUCGUCGCAUUCGUCAAAUUUAUUUGUGUUCGUGAACCGUUCGUGAACACGCUCAUUUCCCUAAUGAACGAACACGAACAUAAAAUCUCGUUCGGUAACUGUUCAUGAACCGUUCGUGAACACAUUUAUUUCCUUAACGAACGAACAUGAACAAGGCCUUGUUCGUGUUCGUUCGGUUCGUUUACAGCCCUAUCCAUGGUUGGAUUCUGUCUCGGUCGUUGUAUAAAUGCUCUUCAUUCGGCCCUACGUCGUGACGUCAUGACAAACUAAAAAAUAGAAGCACCAUGGAUCUAGACCGGACCCUUUGGGCCGUCUGCAGUGGUUGGCUCGACUAAUCUGUCAUGUCUCGGCCCUACGAAGUAAAUCAGGAAAAUCGUCAUAAAAGAAGUAUCAAUACGAUGGAAGAAUGGUCUCGGAAAUGGAUAUGAAUAACUGGAAGAGAAUGCAGAAGAAGAUGAUUAGUAUGAGUGAAGAAGCUGCCAUUGUUGCAGGUUCCCUGUUGUUGGAUUAUAGCUAUAUAUUGUUGGAGAUGCAACUUGUUUGUGAAAAAUUAAAAUAAAAUUAAUAUGUGUGGAUAAUGUUCUUCGGUGUAAAGCCAACUAGAUUGUGGGGGCAUGUAAUAAUAAAGGCAUUUAUAGUCGUCACAUCCAUUUCCAA